UACAAAGUGUAUAGCCUGCCACAGACAUCGCAUGACAACAGCCAGCAGUUUGCGUGGACCUCUGUAAGCGACAGUGCAUGCACCGGCAUGACAAGACGCUGAGCCGAGCCGCAGCUGGAAGAGCGCACGCGUUCGGUCAGGGGCACGUGAGCACGAGGCCGGCCGUGGACUGGCCGAAAGGAGCCGCGCGUGGGGGCGAAAGAGAGUGGAGAGGCCCCGAACUCCCGGCAAUGACUGAGUGCGCGAGCCGGCGUAGGGCCGCCGUAACCGGGAGCGUCGGCGACGCGCUGUGAUCGCGUGGGAGACGGCAGGCUGGAUGUUACCACCAGCAGCAGCAGCAGGAGGAGGAGGUGAGGAGGCAGGCAGUGAGUGAGUGCCCGGUCCCGGUCCCUCUCCCCUCCCCUCUCUUCCCCCCCCCCCACCUCCUCCUCCCUCCCCUCCCCUUCUCCCGGGAGGGGGGCCGGGAGCUGCGGCUGCGCUGGAGCUGGAGCUCGAGCGGAGUGAAGCGGGGCCCCGAGGCCGAGGCCCGGAGAGGGAGGAGGAGGAGGGCCGGAGAGCCAGGCCCCGGCCUCGGUCGCUCAGUGAUGUGGAGUGCGAGCCAUGGAGACUCGCGAGCUGCCCAGAGAAGGCGCCGCCGACUGUGAGGAGCGCCCGGCGCUGAGCGGCACCGGCCCCGGCCACAGCCCGAGGCUGCCGGGCCUGCUGUGGGAGCCCAAGUACAGCCUGGUGCAGGAGGUGGGCCGCGGCAGUUACGGCGUGGUGUACGAGGCGGUGGUGAGGAAGAGCGGAGCCCGGGUGGCCAUCAAGAAGAUCCGCUGCGACGCCCCGGAGAACGUGGAGCUGGCCCUGUCCGAGUUCUGGGCUCUGACCAGCCUCAAGCGGCAGCAUGAGAAUGUGAUCCAGUUUGAGGAGUGUGUGCUGCAGCGCAACGGCAUGGCCCAGAAGAUGAGCCACGGCAACAAGCGCUCCGAGUUCUACCUGCGCCUGGUGGAGACCUCACUGAAGGGCGAGCGGAUCCUGGGCGCCGGCGAGCCCUGCUACCUCUGGUUCGUCAUGGAGUUCUGCAACGGCGGCGACCUGAACCAGUACGUGCUGUCCCGGAGGCCCGACUCGGCCGUCAACACCAGCUUCAUGCUGCAGCUGACCAGCGCCAUCGCCUUCCUGCACAAGAACCACAUCGUCCACCGCGACCUGAAACCCGACAACAUCCUCAUCUCCGAGAAGUCGGGAGUCCCCAUUCUCAAAGUGGCCGAUUUCGGCCUCAGCAAAGUUUGCGUGGUGGGCGGAGGAGCAGCCACCAACAAAAACGUGAAUGUGAACAAGUGCUGGUUGUCCUCCGCCUGCGGCUCUGACUUUUACAUGGCUCCAGAGGUCUGGGAAGGACACUACACGGCCAAGGCUGACAUUUUCGCUUUGGGGAUCAUCAUAUGGGCCAUGAUAGAGCGAAUAACUUUCAUUGAUGCUGAGACUAAGAAAGAAUUGCUUGGGACCUAUGUUAGACAGGGCAGUGAGAUUGUACCUGUAGGGGAAGCAUUGCUAGAAAACCCAAAGAUGGAACUACACAUCCCGCAGAAAAGGAGAACUUUCAUGUCUGAAGGGAUCAGACAGCUUAUUAAAGACAUGUUGGCUGCUAAUCCACAGGAUCGUCCCGACGCAUUUGAGUUAGAAACUAGGAUGGACCAGGUCACUUGUGCUGCGUAAAUUAUCUAUUAUAAAGGGGAUACUCUUGUAAAAGAUAUGAAAAGAAAGUUUGGGAAUAUUGAUGAUCCAUCAGAUUGCUGUGGUGAGGAGAAUAUCAUUAUCCAGAACAAAAAUGUACACAAACAAAACAGUUGUUGAAUGCUGGACAAGUUUAGAACACGAGUUUGCUGUCAAGAAUGGAAAAUUAAAUUGAACAGCUUCCUUAGAAUGAACAGAAAUUGAAGUCUUUUUGCUGCAUUUAGAGCUUCAGCACUAGCUGAUAUCAGGACAAGGAAAGCUAUGCAAUUAAAUUGCUAAGAUUUUAUUUUUUGGGGUGGGAGGGAGUGUUUGCCAUGCAAUAAACUUGUAUUUACACUAUUUGGUUGUAUCUUCACUUUAUCUGAUUAAAUGCUGUGUCCUUGAAGAUUUAAUUGGGUGGAUUGAAUUCUUAAAGCUGAAUGACCCUAUGUUGAUUAACUUUUGUUUUAUUAUAAGCAUUAGCUGUUAUUGGCAAGAAUUUGAGCAGCUGCACUUAUUAUAUACCAGUAUGAUUUGUUUUAAAAUAAUCAGCAUGAGUGACCAGAGUGCCUUAUUAUUUUGUCAGAUUAGUUGAUGCUAUACUGAAUCCAAGGAACUUUAAAUGUCAAAAUGUGUUAAUUUUUUUGAUUAUGUACUGGAGAGCCAGUUUCUUUAAUAUGGCCUGGAUGAAGUCUUCUGGCAGGCUGAAAACUGUGGGUUAGUUCAACUUUAAAAUCAGGAGUUUCAUUGAAAUAACUUGUUGAAUAAAGAGCUUGGCCAUUUGGAAACUGAA